rnacentral:rRNA from 1 species
UACGUAGGGGGCAAGCGUUGUCCGGAUUUAUUGGGCGUAAAGAGCGUGUAGGCGGCUAUACAGGUCCGCUGUGAAAACUCGAGGCUCAACCUCGAGACGUCGGUGGAAACCGUAUGGCUAGAGUCCGGAAGAGGAGAGUGGAAUUCCUGGUGUAGCGGUGAAAUGCGCAGAUAUCAGGAAGAACACCCGUGGCGAAGGCGGCUCUCUGGGACGGUACUGACGCUGAGACACGAAAGCGUGGGGAGCGAACAGG